AACUCUCAACGACGGAUAUCUUGGCUCUCGCAACGAUGAAGAACGCAGCGAAAUGCGAUMCGUAGUGUGAAUUGCAGAAUUCCGUGAACCAUCGAAUUUUUGACGCAUAUUGCGCUCAAGGCUUCGGCCAAGAGCAUGUCUGCCUCAGCGUCG
rnacentral:rRNA from 1 species